GACGAACGCUGGCGGCGUGCUUAACACAUGCAAGUCGAACGGAAAGGCCCUGCGCUUGCGGGGUGCACGAGUGGCGAACGGGUGAGUAAAACGCGAGGAACCUCUCCCUGACAGUGGGAGAACUUCAGGAAACUGGGGAUAAAAUACGAUAGGAGCUUCUGCAGCACGGGGGGCGUAGGAAAGAUACGGCGGUUGGGGAAGGACUCGCGGCUUACCAGCUUGUUGGUGGGGUAGUUGAUGACAAAGCUUUUGACGGAUAGCCUGCCUGAGAGGGUGACCGGCCACCUUGGUCCUGAGAGACGGCCCAGACUCCUACCGGACGCAGUAGUGGAGAAUAUUGCACAGUGGGCGGAAGUCUGAUGCAGCAACGCCGCGUGCGGGAUGCCGGCCUUCGGGUUGUAAACCGAUUUCGCCUGUGCCGAGGCCUUAGUGACGGUAAUGGGUAAAGAAGCACCGGCUAACUACGUG
rnacentral:rRNA from 1 species